CCCUUAGAUGUUCUGGGCCACACGCGCGCUACACUGAUGCAUUCAACGAGUCUAAAACCUGGUCUGAUAGGGCUGGGUAAUCUUUUGAAAGUGCAUCGUGAUUGGGAUAGAUGAUUGCAAUUCUUCAUCUUCAACGAGGAAUGCCUAGUAAACGCAAGUCAUCAGCUUGCAUUGAUUACGUCCCUGCCCUUUGUACACACCGCCCGUCGCUCCUACCGAUUGAAUGAUCCGAUGAAUACCAUGGAUUGAGAGUACGAAUGGGUUCGCUCAUUUCUGCUGCUCGAGAAGUGGAGUAAAUCUUAUCAUUUAGAGGAAGGAGAANUCGUANCA
rnacentral:rRNA from 1 species